AGUCACGCUGUAAACGAUGUCGAUUUGGAGUUUGUUGCCUAGAGUGAUGGGCUCCGAAACUAACGCGAUAAAUCGACCGCCUGGGGAGUACGGCCGCAAGGUUAAAACUCAAAUGAAUUGACGGGGGCCCGCACAAGCGGUGGAGCAUGUGGUUUAAUUCGAUGCAACGCGAAGAACCUUACCUGGUCUUGACAUCCAUAGAAUUCUGCAGAGAUGUGGGAGUGCCUUCGGGAACUAUGAGACAGGUGCUGCAUGGCUGUCGUCAGCUCGUGUUGUGAAAUGUUGGGUUAAGUCCCGCAACGAGCGCAACCCUUAUUCUUUGUUGCCAGCGAUUUGGUCGGGAACUCAAAGGAGACUGCCGUUGAUAAAGCGGAGGAAGGUGGGGACGACGUCAAGUCAUCAUGGCCCUUACGACCAGGGCUACACACGUGCUACAAUGGCGUAUACAAAGGGAAGCGAAGGUGCGAGCUGGAGCGGAUCUCAUAAAGUACGUCUAAGUUCGGAUUGGAGUCUGCAACUCGACUCCAUGAAGUCGGAAUCGCUAGUAAUCGUAGAUCAGAAUGCUACGGUGAAUACGUUCCCGGGCCUUGUACACACCGCCCGUCACACCAUGGGAGUGGGUUGCACCAGAAGUAGAUAGCUUAACCGCGAGGGGGGCGUUUACCACGGUGUGAUUCGUGACUGGGGUGAAGUCGUAACAAGGUAACCA
rnacentral:rRNA from 1 species